AGAGUUUGAUCCUGGCUCAGAUUGAACGCUGGCGGCAGGCCUAACACAUGCAAGUCGAACGGUAACAGAGAGCAGCUUGCUGCUCUGCUGACGAGUGGCGGACGGGUGAGUAAUGUCUGGGGAUCUGCCCGAUGGAGGGGGAUAACCACUGGAAACGGUGGCUAAUACCGCAUAACGUCGCAAGACCAAAGUGGGGGACCUUCGGGCCUCACACCAUCGGAUGAACCCAGAUGGGAUUAGCUAGUAGGUGGGGUAACGGCUCACCUAGGCGACGAUCCCUAGCUGGUCUGAGAGGAUGACCAGCCACACUGGAACUGAGACACGGUCCAGACUCCUACGGGAGGCAGCAGUGGGGAAUAUUGCACAAUGGGCGCAAGCCUGAUGCAGCCAUGCCGCGUGUAUGAAGAAGGCCUUCGGGUUGUAAAGUACUUUCAGCGGGGAGGGAAGGGAGUGAGGUUAAUAACCUUAUUCAUUGACGUUACCCGCAGAAGAAGCACCGGCUAACUCCGUGCCAGCAGCCGCGGUAAUAC
rnacentral:rRNA from 1 species